AAAACACCUAGCUAAGCCACACCCCCACGGGUCUCAGCAGUAGUUAAUAUUAAGCAAUAAGCGCCCCAAAACCCCUUCAAGCUCGACUUAGUUAUGAUAAAUAGGGCCGGUAAAUUUCGUGCCAGCCACCGCGGUUAUACGAAAAGCCCAAGAUAAUAAUAUACGGCGUAAAGCGUGACUAGAACACCAAGCUUCCACUUCGAAACCCAAACACAUGCCAAGUUAUAAAAUACAUCCGGCACCUCUGAAGUCCUACUCUGGUUUCAACAAUCAGCCCCUUUGACCUCACGAAAACCAAGAAACAAACUGGGAUUAGAUACCCUACUAUGCUUGGUCGUAACCCUAGACCUCCAUACUACACUACGUUCCGCCUGAGAACUACAAGUGAAAAACUCGAAACUCAAAGGACUUGACGGUGCCCCACACCAACCUAGAGGAGCCUGUCCUAUAAUCGAUACUCCCCGAAAAACCUCACCCCCCCUCGCCACUCCCAGCCUAUAUACCGCCGUCGCCAGCCUACCUUAUAAAAGCCCACAAGUAGGCACAAAGAGUUCUUCCCCCAAAACGUCAGGUCAAGGUGUAGCACAUGGGCGGGACUGAGAUGGGCUACAUUUUCUAAAAAGAAAACACCAACCCUGUCCUGAAAAAACAGAUCAAGGUGGAUUUAGCA
rnacentral:rRNA from 1 species